UACGUAGGGACCAAGCGUUGUUCGGAUUUACUGGGCGUAAAGGGCGCGUAGGCGGCGCGGUAAGUCACUUGUGAAAUCUCUGAGCUUAACUCAGAACGGCCAAGUGAUACUGCAGUGCUAGAGUGUGGAAGGGGCAAUCGGAAUUCUUGGUGUAGCGGCGAAAUGCGCAGAUAUCAGGAGGAACACCGAUGGCGAAGGCAGGUCACUGGGCCGCAACUGACGCUGAGGAGCGAAAGCAUGGGGAGCGAACAGG
rnacentral:rRNA from 1 species